GAAAACCCUAUCCACCUCCACCCAGAGCCGCCGACUCCUCUCCCUCUCACCUCCCGAUUCAGAUCCAUGUCCAGCCUCCCUCCACGCUGGGCUGCCGAUCUCCAGCGCCAACCAUCUCCUGCUCCACCUCCGUCUCCCACCCUCUCUCGCUCCGCCACCACCCCCACCCUCGACGGCACUCCUCGGCCUUAUCCACAUCGCCACAGCCCACAGGUGACCUCGCCAGACCACUCGCUGUGAAGGUGGAGGAGAUAGCUGAAGUCGAGGGUGUUGUUGAUGACAUAAAAGGUGUUGAUAAAAUAGAGCCUUGUGAAGAACAGGGGAUACAAUACAGAAAGGAUGUUGCCUCACACAUGACAGUAGCUGCACGGCCUAUGAACGAUGUUCCCUCCCCAACAACGCCUUUGUGAGCAUGCUCGCUGUUGGCGCUGUCAUGGCAGAAUCGUGCAAGCAUCGGCCAUGCAGGCACUGUGGUUGUGAUUGUUAUGCUGGGAACGAUGUUCCUCAUGGUCCCAGUAAUGCGGCUAGUAUGGAAGAGGCACUGGAUCCUUGUUGUCACAUUCCUUGAGCUCUCGUUGAUGGAGAAUAAAUGGAAAUAAGUGAUCAUCUAGUGGAGACAGAGAUAACAAGUAGAGACAAACUGCAGGGUACCAAGUAGAGACAAACCGCUGCACUGUGGUAUGUGGCCUUCUAUCAAGAUCUGAUUCAGUUUAGAUUUCCCCCCUAGGUCUUGGAGACAUGAUUUCUGUUACUAUAUUAAUAUGUCAACAUGUUCUAUUUAGAGUUUUCUCCCCAGGCAUUUCUUUUUCUAUCCUUGUUGUCUCCUGCAGA